GGGGGUGUAGCUCAGUGGUAGAGCACGUGCUCAGUGGGGAGGAGGCCCUGGGUUCAAUCCCCAGCACACACA
rnacentral:tRNA from 1 species